GACGAACGCUGGCGGCGUGCUUAACACAUGCAAGUCGAACGGAAAGGCCCUGCUUUUGUGGGGUGCUCGAGUGGCGAACGGGUGAGUAACACGUGAGUAACCUGCCCUUGACUUUGGGAUAACUUCAGGAAACUGGGGCUAAUACCGGAUAGGAGCUCCUGCUGCAUGGUGGGGGUUGGAAAGUUUCGGCGGUUGGGGAUGGACUCGCGGCUUAUCAGCUUGUUGGUGGGGCAGUGGCUUACAAAGGCUUUGACGGGUAGCCGGCCUGGGAGGGUGAACGGCGUCAAGGGGACUAAGAGAGGGAGCAGAAGCGUACGGGAGGCAGCAGGGGGGAGUAUGGCGCAGUGGGGGGGAGCCAGAUGCAGCGGUGCCGGGAGCGGGAUGAUGUGCUACGGGUUAUAAACCGCUGUCGCCUGAGAUGAAGCGAGAGUGACGGUAAUUGGUAAAGAAGCACCGGCUAACUACGUG
rnacentral:rRNA from 1 species